rnacentral:snRNA from 1 species
GGAUGUGAGGGCGAUCUGGCGGUGGGGUCCCUCAGCCUGUUGAUCGCCAGGGUUGAUUCGGCUGAUCUGGCAGGCUAGGCGGGUGUCCCCCUCCUCCCUCACCGAUCCAUGUGCGUCCCUCCCAAAGCUGCGCGCACGAAUUCGUGCAUGGGUGGGGUCCCUCAGCCUGGCCAGCAAUCGAGGCCUAUCAGGGGGGCAAG